GAGUUUGGGGUCCUUUUUGGAUGCACUUUUUGGGGAGUUCUGAGUCAUUUUUUGGGGUAAUUGUGGGUGAGAUCUGGGUCAUUUUAUGGGGUAAUUUUGGGUCAGUUUCUGGUCAUUUCUUGGGAUGAUUUUUGGGGAGUUCUGAGUCUUUUUAUGAGCUCGGAA